rnacentral:rRNA from 1 species
GACGAACCGAGCGAACGUUGUUCGGAAUCACUGGGCUUAAAGGGCGCGUAGGCGGGGUCAUAAGUCUGUGGGGAAAUCCUCCGGCUCAACCGGAGAACUGCCUCGGAUACUGUGGCUCUCGAGGGUGGUAGGGGUAUGCGGAACUAUCGGUGGAGCGGUGAAAUGCGUUGAUAUCGAUAGGAACUCCGGUGGCGAAGGCGGCAUACUGGACCACUUCUGACGCUGAGGCGCGAAAGCCAGGGGAGCAAACGGG